rnacentral:rRNA from 1 species
AUUGAACGCUGGCGGCAGGCUUAACACAUGCAAGUCGAACGGUAGCAGGAGAAAGCUUGCUUUCUUGCUGACGAGUGGCGGACGGGUGAGUAAUGCUUGGGAAUCUGGCUUAUGGAGGGGGAUAACUACGGGAAACUGUAGCUAAUACCGCGUAGAAUCGGAAGAUGAAAGUGCGGGACCGCAAGGCCGCAUGCCAUGAGAUGAGCCCAAGUGGGAUUAGGUAGUUGGUGGGGUAAGGGCCUACCAAGCCUGCGAUCUCUAGCUGGUCUGAGAGGAUGGCCAGCCACACUGGAACUGAGACACGGUCCAGACUCCUACGGGAGGCAGCAGUGGGGAAUAUUGCGCAAUGGGGGGAACCCUGACGCAGCCAUGCCGCGUGAAUGAAGAAGGCCUUCGGGUUGUAAAGUUCUUUCGGUAUUGAGGAAGGUUGAUGUGUUAAUAGGACAUCAAAUUGACGUUAAAUACAGAAGAAGCACCGGCUAACUCCGUG